UACGUAGGUGGCAAGCGUUGUCCGGAUUUAUUGGGUUUAAAGGGUGCGUAGGCGGCCUAUUAAGUCAGUGCUGAAAUAUCCCGGCUUAACCGGGAGGGUGGCAUUGAUACUGAUGGGCUUGAGUAGAGUUGAGGUUGGCGGAAUUGACGGUGUAGCGGUGAAAUGCUUAGAUAUCGUAAGGAAGACCAGUGGCGAAGGCGGGUCUCUGGACAGUUCCUGACGCUGAGGCACGAAGGUCAGGGGAGCAAACGGG
rnacentral:rRNA from 1 species